rnacentral:rRNA from 1 species
CCUACGGGGGGCAGCAGUGGGGAAUUUUCGUCAAUGGGCGCAAGCCUGAACGAGCAAUGCCGCGUGAACGAGGAAGGUCUUCGGAUCGUAAAGUUCUGUUGAAGGGGAAAAAGAGCGGAGAGAGGAAAUGAACUCCGAUUGAUAUUACCCUUCGAGGAAGUCACGGCUAACUACGUGCCAGCAGCCGCGGUAAUACGUAGGGGGCGAGCGUUAUCCGGAAUGAUUGGGCGGAAAGGGUGCGUAGGCGGCCUGCUAAGUCUGGAGUGAAAGGUACCGGCUCAACCGGUGCAGCCUCGGGAAACGGG